rnacentral:misc_RNA from 1 species
GCGUCAGUAUAAUCUCAAGCUAACCCUUGGUAUUGGAAGAUGAUCUGCCUAGCAGUUCACUUCUUAAACUGAUUGGCAAGUUUACAUAGCAGCAAGCGUAGUAGAAAUACAAUCAGCUUAGUUACUGUGGAAGCUUUGUCAAAAUCAAACUAUUUUUAAGGUUUGACCUCAGAUCAGGUAAGGAUACCCCCUGAACUUAA